UACGGGGGGGGCAAGCGUUGUCCGGAUUUACUGGGCGUAAAGGGCGCGCAGGCGGCUCAUCAAGUCAGGCGUGAAAGCCCCGGGCUUAACCUGGGAGGUGCGUCUGGGACUGGUGGGCUAGAGUUCGGGAGAGGAGAGUGGAAUUCCCAGUGUAGCAGUGAAAUGCGUAGAGAUCGGGAGGAACAUCUGUGGCGAAGGCGACUACCUGGACCAGCACUGACACUGAGGCACGAAAGCGUGGGGAGCGAACAGG
rnacentral:rRNA from 1 species